rnacentral:misc_RNA from 1 species
UCCUAGCCCUGAUCGCAGCAUUUGUUUGAGCUCAUUUUAGGAUUUCGGCGGCGGCAAAGCCGCCGCCGAAAUCCUAAAAUAGCGAGUGCGGAGAGCAGGAAACAGC